rnacentral:rRNA from 1 species
GUGCCAGCCGCCGCGGUAAUACGGAGGGGGUUAGCGUUGUUCGGAAUUACUGGGCGUAAAGCGCACGUAGGCGGAUUAGUCAGUCAGAGGUGAAAUCCCAGGGCUCAACCUUGGAACUGCCUUUGAUACUGCUAGUCUUGAGUUCGAGAGAGGUGAGUGGAAUUCCGAGUGUAGAGGUGAAAUUCGUAGAUAUUCGGAGGAACACCAGUGGCGAAGGCGGCUCACUGGCUCGAUACUGACGCUGAGGUGCGAAAGCGUGGGGAGCAAACAGGAUUAGAAACCCCAGUAGUCC